UAAGCUGAGAAAUAUCCAGAGGAGUACCAACUAGAUGGUAAUGGAUAUUGAAUCCAUUUCAUAUAAUAUUCAGUUGAAUAAAAUGGACAUGUUCAGGCUGUAGAAGGAAAGACUCAAGGGGAACACUAUAAUCACACUCAGAUGGUAGAGUAGAUAGAGCACUGAGCCUGUAGUCAAGAAGAUGCAAGUUCAACUGUGGUCUCAGAAAUUAACUGUGUGAUCAUGGGACAGAACAGAGAAGUCAUCCUGAGAAACCAUUUAUUGCAGAGAAUAUUUCUGCGAGGCCCAAAUCACUGUGAUUUAAUUCAGACCCCUGUGACACGAUGGACUGACUAAGCAGACUGUGGAAAAUGUGUUACCCUUCUUCUGUAAAACAUAAUUACUGAGGAAGAUGGUCCCCCUGCAGCUUUUUGUUGAUGUACCAUUUUUCUGACUUCCUGAAGGGAAUCACCACCAAAAGCUUUUUGUCCAUGUACCCAUCCCUUUCUCUUUCUCACCUUUGGUGAACAGAUAGACUUUCCCAGGCUUUCCUGGACUUACUCCUUUGUUCCUUCCAUGUUCUGCAAAACUCAAACUAAGGUGAUUAAUUUGGUCAAUCAGCUCAUUUGACUUUUUAGCACCUUCUUUUGGUCAAUGGCAGAAUUGACAAAGAGGGGAAAUGAUUUUAUUUUCAGAUUAUCUCCUUACUGACAUCACAGUGUUAAAACAAAGCAUAACAGCAAAUAAUGCUUGAAUUAACUAUGAACUUGUCUUGCCAUUUCUCCCAGGAUUUUGCUUAAGUACUAAAGUUAAAAAGGACAAUAAAACUAAAGAUAUGAAAGACCA
rnacentral:lncRNA from 1 species